rnacentral:sRNA from 1 species
AUCCCCCAAACUAAGGGGGGAUGAGAACCACGACCGGGGUUCGACAACUGGCGCAGCCAGUUGGACAGACGACGAGCUUGCGAGGAGACUGCCCGAAGGGCGAGCGCAGCGAGUCAAUCCCCCCUCACCGCCA